GACAGAGGGUGCAAACGUUGUUCGGAAUGACUGGGCGUAAAGCGCGUGUAGGCGGUUCUGCAAGUCGGGUGUGAAAGCCCUGGGCUCAACCCAGGAAGUGCACUCGAAACUGCAGGACUGGAGUCCCGGAGAGGAAGGCGGAAUUCACGGUGUAGCAGUGAAAUGCGUAGAUAUCGUGAGGAACACCAGAGGCGAAAGCGGUUACCUGGACAGUUACUGACGCUCAGGCACGAAAGCAUGGGGAGCAAACGGG
rnacentral:rRNA from 1 species